rnacentral:rRNA from 1 species
AUGGCUCCUCAAGUUUUUGGCACCCAAUCUCUGAUUCCUCUGUCCCACCAUGCACUCUUCCUUCUUUGCACCAUCCUCAUAUUUCAAUCCUCCAACACAAUCAUAUUCUCAUCAGCACAGGCUACCAACAAAACCGAAGAUGACCGGCAAGCUCUUCUUUGCUUCAAAUCUGGCAUCUCCAAGGACCCUGCCGGUGUUCUUCGAUCAUGGCGCAGUGACAACUUCUGUGGCUGGCGAGGGGUCACCUGCAGCACCACCCUCCCAAUCCGCGCCGUGUCCCUCCAACUCAGGUCUACGCUGCUCACAGGAACACUAUCCAGUUGCAUGGCAGCCCUUGAUUCUCUAGUUCAGUUGAACCUUGGGAACAAUAAGUUAUCUGGAAGCGUACCUGAAGAGAUAGGUGAGCUUCGGAGCCUCCAAACCCUGAUGCUUGCUGGCAACAGGCUUUCAGGUACCAUCCCUCUGUCAUUAGGUACAGCUGCAUCUCUUAGAUAUGUCAACCUUGCAAACAAUUCUCUUAGCGGAGCUAUCCCUGUUUCCUUAGCAAAUAGUUCAUCACUCAGUGAGAUAAUCCUCUCACGUAAUGACUUAUCUGGGUUGAUCCCAGCUAAUCUGUUCAACUCAUCCAAACUUGUUGCUGUUGACCUCCGGUCGAAUGCUCUCUCCGGGCCUAUCCCACAUUUCCAAAAGAUGGAUGCUCUGCAAUUUCUUAAUCUUACAGGGAAUUUACUUUCUGGUACUAUACCAGCAUCUUUGGGCAAUGUUUCAUCAUUGCGUUCCCUCCUGCUAGCACAAAACAACUUAGCAGAAUCAAUUCCGGAAACUUUGGGUCAAAUUCCAAACCUAACAAUGCUAGAUCUAAGUUACAAUAGAUUCUCGGGGUAUGUCCCAGCCACACUGUACAAUAUGUCAUCACUCGCACUCUUUAGGUUAGACAGCAACUAUUUUAUCGGACAGAUACCUUCUAAAAUAGGCCACUCACUUCCAAAUCUUCAAACAUUGGUAAUGGGAGGCAACGGAUUUCGUGGACCAAUCCCAGAUUCUCUGACCAACAUGUCAAAGCUCCAAGUGCUUGAUCUUUCAAGCAACUUGCUGACGGGCGUGGUGCCAUCUUUAGGAUCCUUGGCAAACUUGAGUGUACUGCUUCUAGGAGAUAAUAAACUCGAAGCUGAUAACUGGGCAUUCCUUACCUCUCUGACCAAUUGCACUCAGUUGUUAAUAUUAUCAGUAGAUGGAAAUAUCCUGAAUGGAAGUUUGCCAAAAGCAGUGGGCAAACUUUCAACAAAGCUUCAGCGGUUAAGCUUUGGUAGAAACCAAAUUUCUGGAAACAUACCAGCUGAGAUAGGCAAGCUUGUAAGUCUCGCUCUGCUUGACAUGGGCCAGAACAUGCUCUCAGGACAAAUUCCCCCGAGUGUUGGGAACUUGAGCAAUUUGUUUAUCCUGGAACUAUCGAGGAAUAGAUUAUCAGGUCAGAUUCCAUCAACGGUUGGUUAUCUUCCUCAACUCGGCCAGUUUUAUCUUGAUGACAACAGUUUGUCUGGAAACAUACCAGCAACUAUAGGACAAUGCAAAAGUCUAGAUAUGCUGAACUUCAACAACCUUGAUGGAUCCAUACCAAGAGAACUCCUAAAUAUUUCUUCCCUUUCAUUGGGUUUGGACUUGUCAAACAACAACCUGGAUGGGCCGGUACCAAGGGAAGUUGGUAACCUGAUCAAUCUUGGCCUUCUUAAUGUUUCCAACAACAAAUUGUCGGGUAGCCUUCCUUCUGAACUUGGCAUGUGUAUUCGUCUGACAUCCCUUCAGAUUGAAAGCAACAUGCUUAGUGGGAUUAUUCCUCAGUCUCUCGCUGCACUAAGGGGCUUAGACCAAAUAGAUCUGUCUGACAACAAUUUAACUGGUGAAGUUCCGCAGUUUUUUGAGGGCUUCAGCAGCAUAAGUUACAUUGAUAUAUCAAACAACAAAUUUGAAGGGCCAAUCCCGACUGGUGGUAUAUUCAGAAAUUCAACUAAGGUAUCCCUGCAAGGUAACAAAGGGUUAUGUGAAACUGCUGCUGCCAUAUUUGGACUUCCCAUUUGCCCAACCACCUCUCCCACCACCUCAUCAACAAAAAGGAAGAUCAACACACGCCUGCUGCUGAUAAUAGCUCCAGCAGUUACUAUUGCUUUGUUCUCAUUAUUAUGUGUUGUUGUCACUGUUAUGAAGGGGACUAAAGCUCAACCAUCUGAAAGUUUCAAGGAGACAAUGAAGAGGGUGUCAUAUGGGGACAUCCUUAAAGCCACCAAUUGGUUCUCCCCGGUCAACAGGAUCAGCUCCAGUCACACAGCAUCAGUCUACAUUGGUCGGUUUGAGUUCGAAACGGAUCUAGUGGCCAUCAAGGUCUUCCAUCUUAGCGAGCAAGGUUCGAGGAAUAGCUUUUUCAGCGAGUGUGAAGUACUAAAACACACCCGCCACCGUAAUCUGGUUCAAGCUAUUACCCUGUGCUCAACGGUUGAUUUUGAGGGCGAUGAGUUCAAGGCUAUAGUAUACGAGUUCAUGGCAAAUGGUAGCCUGGACAUGUGGAUACACCCAAGGGUUGGCAGCUCAAGGAGGCUGCUGAGCUUGGGCCAGCGGAUAAGUAUUGCUGCUGAUGUGGCUUCCGCUCUGGACUAUAUGCACGACCAACUGACACCUCCUUUGAUUCACUGUGAUCUGAAGCCGAGCAAUGUUCUGCUGGACUACGACAUGACCUCACGCAUUGGCGACUUUGGGUCCGCCAAGUUUCUCUGUUCAAGUAUCGGCAGACCAGAAGGCUUGAUUGGUGUAGGAGGAACAAUCGGAUAUAUCGCUCCUGAAUACGGGAUGGGAUGCAAAGUCUCGACAGGCGGCGACGUGUACGGCUUCGGGGUGCUGCUACUGGAGAUGCUCACGGCGAUGCGACCUACGGAUGCACAAUGCAGCAACGCCCUCAGCCUCCACAAGUACGUCGAUCGAGCCUUCCCCGAGAGGAUCGCUGAGAUUCUAGAUCCUCAUAUGCCAUCCGAGGAGGACGAGGCGGCUGCUUCUCUGCGUAUGCAAAACUACAUUAUACCUUUGGUCAGUAUUGGCCUGAUGUGUACCAUGGAUUCGCCGCAAGAUAGACCAGGUAUGCAUGAUGUCUGUGCCAGAAUUGUUGCCAUCAAAGAGGCAUUUGUCGAGACCUUGUUGUGA